rnacentral:rRNA from 1 species
AGUGAACGCUGGCGGUAUGCCUAACACAUGCAAGUCGAACGGCAGCACAGUAAGAUCUUGCUCUUACGGGUGGCGAGUGGCGGACGGGUGAGGAAUACAUAGGAAUCUACUUUUUCUUGGGGGACGACGUAGGGAAACUUACGCUAAUACCGCAUACGAUCUACGGCUUAAAGCAGGGGAUCUUCGGACCCUGCGCGAUUGUAUGAGCCGAUGUCGGAUUAGCUAGUUGGCGGGGUAAAGGCCCACCAAGGCGACGAUACGUAGCUGGUCUGAGAGGAUGAUCGGCCACACUGGAACUGAGACACGGUCCAGACUCCUACGGGAGGCAGCAGUGGGGAAUAUUGGACAAUGGGCGCAAGCCUGAUCCAGCCACGCCGCGUGGGUGAAGAAGGCCUUCGGGUUGUAAAGCCCUUUUGUUGGGAAAGAAAAGCAGCAUGUUAAUACCCCGCUGUUCUGACGGUACCCAAAGAAUAAGCACCGGCUAACUUCGUG